AGACAAGGGGACAGGUGAAAUCACAGCCCAGGGGGAACCAACGUGCACAAGUGGGGUGGCCUGGCUCCCUGCCUUCCGGAAGGUUCCGCUCUUACUGGCCAACAGCUGUGGUCCAGGAAGGGGAGAACGAGCUCUCAGCUCCGGGGGCAGUCCCCCAGACUGUGCCACCCUGGGAAGGAAGCUCCACCAGGGCACCUCUCUGCCUCUACCCACCGUGUUCCCUCCGUUCUUGGAAGUCAACGUGCUCAUCCAAGCAGAUCACCUGGGAGAAGAGCAGCUCACUCUCCCCCCUCUGCGUGAGUGACCCUGCCCGUGGGACGGGCCUCCACGCUCCAUCACCUGGCAUGCGGCCCCAGGCACCCCCACCCCGAGUGCACAAGCCGCAACACCCAUAAGCAGGGCCCUGGGAGCAGGUCCUCUAAGGUCACUCUAUUAGCAAACGGUGCCCGGCCACUGCUUCUGCUGCACUGUGUUCUUCGAAUUCUUUGGAACCUCACACAGAGAGGACAGCGCGAGCCUCCAAGGGCCCCAGAUGAGUGCAGAACCUCCGACUGGGCCACGCAAGCGGACAGCGAGGCUGAGCGCUGAGACGGGAGACGGGAAAUAAAAUGCGAAGUGUUAUCUUCAGACUCGGGUAUGGAAUCGUCUGGGCCCGGAUCUAACUAAAGUACUGAUGUGGCCCAUCUCCAGCUUUCCGGGUGCAAACCCGCACUGAACUCCCGCUCUUGGUCCCGGAAGGGUCCCCCGAGAGGCCACGGACGGCAACAGGAGAGCCACCUCGGGCAGGGGCUGCCGACUCCACGGACAAGGCCCCAGUGCAGUGGGUGUGGCCCGGGCUCUCCCGCCCCGGGGAGUGGGGGGGGGGGGAGGGGGGGGACAUAUGGAAGGGCCCCUGGCAAGCUGGGCCCCCCAGCUUGACUUCUCCCUCCCCAGACGAGCUCCUGUACAGAGCACGGCCUGUCCUUAACCCAAAGCAGGCCCCGGUCACACAGCCUGGAGCUGGGGGCCCAAGCCUGCCUGCCCCAUCCUCCAGGGCAGCUGAAGGCCCACGAAGCCACAGUCCCCACUCGGGCCUCUGUCCCCGACAGCAGGACUAUCUGGGCUUCCGUUUCUACUGUUCAAAAUCCCGGCAGGAAGAGAAACGCUUUUACCUGGGGAACUUCUCAGGACGCCAACGACGUGCUGAGAGAGACGGGGUUCUGAGCUGGAAGCCCCGGCUGCCGCCCUGGUGAGCUUCCCCCACCCCGGCCCCGCUCCUCCGCCCAUGGGCAGGGAAAGCAGGCCCA